rnacentral:rRNA from 1 species
AGUAAUGGCGAAUGAAAAGAGAUGUGCUUAGUGUCAAAAUCAGGUUUCCCUGACUUGUAGGCUGUAGGCGCUAUGCCAACUUGGGUGCAGGUGCAAGUCUCUUGGAAUAGAGCACCAGUGAGGGUGAGGGUCCCUUCUGUCAUCUGUCAUCCCUUGUAGACGGUUUGCGUUCUGAGAGUCGUGUUCUUCUGGAAUAGAGCGCCAAGUGGGUGGUACUCUUUGCCUAAGGAGCAUUACAUACUUGAGACCAAUAGUGAACAAGUACCAUGAGGGAAGGAUGAAAAGGACUUUGGAAAGAGGGUUAAGAGGACAUGAAGCUGCUGGAAGGGAAGUGGAUUGGACUUCUGUCUGUGGCAAGAUUGCAGGUUGCACUACUCUCUGAGGAACUGCGACUUGUGUUUCUUGCUACUUAGUGGGACUCUGUGUGGUGUCCACAAUCUAAGCUUUACUUGGCAAAAACCUGCUGGUUGCUCCAUAGUUUAGCUUUCUGUUGGCACUACAUAAUUCUUCCACUAAAGAGUUCAAUUUUACCCGUCUUGAAACACGGACCAAGGAGUCUAAUGCGUGUGCAAGUGUAAGGGUUUUAAACCUGACAGCAUAACAAACGUGACUGCUGGGAUUCUUGCGCCAGCAACCAACUGAUCACUUAGGAGAUGUUUGUGUAUGAGCAUGCUUGCUAGGACCCGAAAGGUGGUGAACUAUGCCUGAGAAGGGUGACGUCAGGGGAAACUCUGAUGGAAGCUCGUAGCGCUACUGACGUGCAAAUCGUUCGUCUGACUUGGGUAUA